CCGUAGCUCAACUGGAUAGAGCGUCUGACUACGGAUCAGGAGGUUGGGGGUUCAAAUCCUCCCGG
rnacentral:tRNA from 1 species